UUCCCAAAAACAAGAUUAAAUUAAAAAUAUCUUUAACACAUAUUAUUGAAUUGUUACAUUAUCCUCCACAAACACAUUGAUUAAAAAAGCAUCUACGCUGCAAAUUACACAUUGGUAUUCUUUCUUCGCAAUCUUUAUCAUUAUUACAGACCAACAGAAAAUCACAAAUACACACAUUGCUUAUACACUUUGGUAGAAAUUUCACCUUGCAAAUAGUCAAGCAAUCGUUAUCAUUGUCGCAAUGUGUUGUAACUACAUUUCUUGCUUCAAUCCCAAAUGACGAACCUAUUCAAAAUGAUAUUUCAAUAAUAUCAAAACAUAAAUAAUAUGAGCAAAUACAUACAUAUAUGUUGUAUUGUGUGCGUGUGUGCAAAAUUAAUAUAUAAAUGUAUGUGAUAAAGGAGGGAAAUCUUAAUGUGACAACUUGUGUAAGUAUCAAGAUCAUUGAGAUUUGACAAAAAAAUAUAGGAAAUUUACUCCCUUUUUAUUGUGAAGAUAUCCUAGACAGUGCGAUGACUUUCAUGAAUUGAAUGCACAUAAAUUCUUGAGAGAAAUAUUGACAAAAGAGAUGAAGAAAUAAAAUAAACAUAAUUACCACUAUAAAAGAGAAUAGAUCAAUUUCUUAUUUUUUUUUGAAAAAUUGAAACCAUCUUCGUAUUAAUAGAUAUUGAUUAUUUUCCUCACUACCACUCUUUCAACAAAUAUUUUCUGUUUAAUGAGUUUAUAGGAAAAAGAACUUUAAUUAAUUAAUUAAAAAGAAAACUUUGCGUGAUAUAUUUAUUGAUUUGAUAUAAAUAUUAUUUAAACAAAUAAUUUUUCCUCCAAUCACGGCUUUACAUUUUCAGAAAAUUGGAUUGAAAGGUAGAUACAGAGUGAUAAAGAGAAAACAAAAAUGAAAGUAGACUUACAAAUCCCUAUUGCCCACAAAGUGAAGAGGAAAAUCAAAACUUUCGAAGCCAUCUUUGUAUGAUAGGAGAAAUG
rnacentral:lncRNA from 1 species